AAUCCCCAAACGCCAAGCCAACUCUGGGCUCUCUACUUAUUUCCUCGUUUCUUCUCACCCCAAACAAGGUUGACUCUGUGGCCCAAACCAAUCAGAAGUUUUCUAUCUGUCUCUUCCUUGUUCUUUAUUCUUUAUUCUAUGAAAGCUUCCUGCUUCUGCCCCACUUUGCACUUCUCCGAAUAGAGACUGUCUGCCUCAGGAUGUGGUCAAUAAAGUUUGUUUAUAUCACCUAAACUGUCUUCUUUAAUCGCUUUUUAACAGGAGUCUCCCACGCAAGGGAGGGCUGGAAGGGCUGUGAGGAGAGCAUCAGUGGUGGAAAGAGACGGUGAGCAGCAGCAGGCACAGGGCCGAGCGUCAGCAGGAGCGCCCCGCGCCCGGGAACUGAGGUUUCCAUCAGGCCAGAGUCCGCGUCCCGCUCACCUUUGGGGAAUCUGCGAGGCAGGCGGCCUCCUUUCUGUCCCCCAGAAGGACAGUGGGGGCCUUGACCCCCGUCCCCUCCAGUUGGGUCAGCACCUGCUGCGCCACUGCUGGCUCUCUGAGUCCCAAGGGGAGCACACCCUGGAUUUGGCUGAGGGCUCACAGUUGCUUUUCUGAGACGAACGCUCAGCAAGGUUGUCAAGGCCCCGUGGAUGCAGAUGAGAAAGACGGUGAGAGCAUCGGAGGGGAGCCCUGGGGAGUCUCCCCGUCCUCGCAGGGCUACACCGGCGCGGCUGCCUGUGCCCUCCGGAAGCCCGACCGCGUAGUAGGCCGACCGCGCCGCACCCCUUCCGUCUGGAAGCCGGUCCUGGAGCCGCGCCGGCCCUCGCCCAGGGCGGGGGUGCGCUCCCCAGCUUCUCUAGGAUCCGCAGCAUCCUCUGCUUCCUUCGUGGAUGUCGGCCGAAUCCAGACUUGAGCAGCAGAAAGUUCUGGCUCUGUGACCAGGGGCUGGGCUGGGGAGCAGGCAGGGCCCUCAGCUCCGGGCGGGGCUGUCUACACCCGAGUCUGAAGAGCUGACGACAAACACGGCGGGCCCACGAGGACCAGCUGCUUCUCACUGGACAGGCCGCGGGGCGUGCGGGGCUGCGGGGUCCUCCUCUCAGGGCACGGGCGCUUCCUGGGAGAGAAGCGCCUGUCUUUAGAAGGAAUUCCUUAUGAACCCAGUCCUGUGAGAAAAUGGUACCAUUUUUGCACGUUGUUUUCCUGAUCUGAAAGUUUCUAGCUGAUCUUCUGUUAAGAGGUGUGUGUGAGUGAGUGGCGUGGUAUGCGUGUGUGCAUGUGAUAUGCGUGUGUAUGUGGUGUGUGGUGUGUGUGUGUGUGUGUGUGUGAGGGGUGUGUACGUGGUAUGUGUGUAUGUGGUGUGUGUGUCUAUGUGCGUAUGUUGUGUGUGCGGUGUGUGUGCAUGCGCGUGUGGCCGAGCGUCUUCGGCGUGGGGAGUCUGGGAGACUGCGCCUGUUUUCAGGACGGUCCUCGUCCCCUGGCCGCCCUGCGGGCCCAGCCCUGCGCACACCCCGGCCGGUUAGACGAGGACGGAGCGGGUGCCGGGAGCUGUCCCCGCGCGCAUCCGGUCCCAUCAGACGGAGACGCAGCGUGCUCCUGCCUGGGGCUCUGCGCGCGGAGCCGGGGGGGGUGGGACUUCAGGACGGGCGUCGUCCGAGCUGACGGCGAGUUCGUGCGUCCCCCAGAAGCCACCUGUCCCGAGUUAGAGCCUCUCCGGGCUCUCCCGUCGCUGAGCUGUGGCCGCGGCUCCGGGAGCGGCCGCCUCGCCCGGCCCCGGCCUCCCUCCCGCCGCGCCCGCGCUCCUCCCGCCGCCCCUCAAAGCGGGAGGGGGAGGGAGGGGAGGUUUGUGUUACAAUGUUCGGAUCUCCAUCAUGCAAAGAAGAAAACUAAGCUGAAAGCGAGUUCGAGUUCGUAGAGGGCAGCGGGAGGAGAGGGUGCAGGCGGAAGUGUCGCUGCCCCCAGGAUCCCCGUUCCCUGUCGUUCAAACGCUAAUCGAGGUCCUGCUGUGAAGGGGCUUUGCCGAUGGAACCAGGGUCGCCGGCCCGCUGACCCUCAAGCAGGGACCCUGUCCUGGCUUCUGCAGGGGGCGCCGUGUGUCUCAGGGAGCCGCGCGGGCAGCCGAGGAGGGCGGACUCCGCCGGAGCCGAGGCGGGAGGGGAGCCGGAG
ensembl:lncRNA